UUCCUCCAGUCCAUCCAGUUCCAGGACCUCAAUCUCCGCGACCUCCUCCGCGCCGACGGCCCCGUGUCGUCCACAUCCUCAGCGCCCUCAUCCACUUUCUCUUCUUCAGGCAAGAGAAGCUCACCUUGCUAGAGCCUAUCGUCGAAGAGUACGGCGCGAUUGAGAAACGGCAGGGGGAGCUCAGGGCUAAGAUCGCCGAGCUUAGCAAGGCGAAAGAGGACCAUCUGCUUAAGGAGCAGGUGGAGGCACACAUGGUCCAGCAGCUCGAGAAUGAGGUCAAUGCCCUCAAGCAGAGGCUUCAUGAUUAUAACAGAGAGCAGCUGUCACUGCGCAAUGCAUCAAAAGCCUUGGACGAAAAGAGAGAGGAUACACUGAGGAAGAUCAACCAGGCUGAUUUUGAGUUGGUGAAAGUUAUGCAAGAAAAGAAAAAGCUAUCAGCCAAAAUUGUUCAUUCCCCUGAAAAGCUCCAGAGGAACCUUGAGGAGAAGAAAUCAGUCCGUGAUGAGUUAAAGAACUUAGAGAAGAUAGCAAUGCAGAAAGUCCAAGAGAAAACCAAUACUCUUGAGAUGUAUACUAAGGUUUCUGAGAAACUAGCGAAGCAUCUCUCUAAAAUAUCUGCUGUACAUGAAAAGAGCGCUGCUGCUAAAGCUUUUGAGAAGGAUGUUAAAGCACACAAAGAGAAGAUCAGUGAUCAAAAUCUGGAGAUAAAGGCACUUCGCAAUAAAGCUGCUGAAUGGGAAAUGAAAGUACUCGAGAACGAGGCCAAAGUGAAAGCAAAGGAGAAAGAAAGGGAUCAAAGAGUUGGAGAGCACAAUCGGAAGAUGACUGCAUUGAAAUCUGAAGUUGAAUCGGAGCAGAAGUGCCUUGAGGAGAAAGAAAGAAAAAUAAAGGAAACAAUUGACAAGGGUUCUGAAUUAUGCUCUCAAGCUGAUUCGGUUGCUGAAGCUGGAAGGAAGAAAAUAGAGGAAAUCUAUGGGAAGUAUGAUCAAGUUUGUGAGGCGGCUAACAUGUACAUUGAUGGUUCGGAUCAGUCCUUCGAAGAGACUGAUGAAGCUGCAGCGAUGCUGAAAACUAUAGCCCAGAGUGGCGCUUGAUGUGGUGAAGUGACCAUCUGGCAAAGGAUCGUGGACAAUUAUCAUCAUAGUAAUAAUUGUGCUAGUGUCCGGCUUUGUAUAUAUACCUUCAUUGGAUCAUGUCGUGUGGUCACUUUUGCAUCUCGUUCAUGUUGUUGCUCUGAUCGGGUGUGGUCAGUGUAUGUGCUUUUAGCACCUCUAUUUUAAUUUAAUUAUCAGUACUUCCUAGUAUUAGUGUAAGCAAUGGAGCAUUGGGCGUGGUCUUACAACUUU